GACGAACGCUGGCGGCGUGCCUAAUACAUGCAAGUCGAACGCAGUGGGGACGGGUGAGUAACACGUGGGUAACCUCCCAUCAGAUGGGAUAACACUUGGAAACAGGUGCUAAACCGAUACUGGUUGAUGGACCCGCGGUGCAUUGGCUCGUUGGUGAGGUAACGGCUCACCAAGGCCACGUUGCAUAGCCGACCGGAGAGGGUGAGCGGCCACACUGGGACGGAGACACGGCCCAGACUCCUACGGGAGGCGGCAGUAGGGAAUCUUCUGCAAUGGACGAAAGUCUGACCGAGCAACGCCGAGUGAGGGAAGAAGGUUUUCGGAUCGUAAAACUAUGUUGUUAGAGAAGAGGUAUCUAACCAGAAAGCCACGGCUAACUACGUGCCAGCAGCCGCGGUAAUAC
rnacentral:rRNA from 1 species